GCCAUCGGCCAAACCGCUUUGAAGCCUCGGUUCUCUUCCAAUCACCGAAGCUUAACAACGGUUGGCCCGGGGAGUACUUGGAAGGGAGACCGCGUGCGAACACUGGGUGUUGAUGGUA
rnacentral:rRNA from 1 species